CGCACAGGCGAGAAGAAGCGCACCGGUUGCCAUUGUGUGUGUUGCCCCGCAGAUACUCUUCCAAUAUCCCCUUCAGAUGCGAGGACGCGAUGUCUGGUCGUGGUCAGGGUUGGACAGCGUGAUGAGAGCAGCCGGUCCCGGCUGUGAAAGAGCAGGAAGGAGGUGUAUGAAUCCCAGGCGAUAAAUGCAGCGAGUCUCCUAGAGUCAAAUCCACAGCCGCUACCGAACUGACAGACAGCAGGCAGACGGCAACAACACUCCAGCUGGGACCAACCGGAUUCCAGAGUGCCACUCUUCUAUCCAGGAUUUAACGACUGAGAAAAACUCUGUGACAUCAUCGUCAUCAUCAUCAUCGUGGAUGGUGAAAUCUGAGCUUGGACCACGGAGAGUGCAUCGGUCUCCAGGAAACAAGUAUUAAAUCCUGUUAAAGGUCACUUUGAGAUUUUCUUUGUGGCAGCACUGCUCCUGAGAGGGAAAGAGAAGCAACAAAAUAACAACAUGUAAUCAGCAUGUGUAGACCUGUGGACAGUCAUGCAUGCCGGCUCGUGUGGAAGAUCUUGCCCAAACUAAUUCUGACACACCUCCGUUUUUCUAAAGAAAACAUCCCAAGCCCUUCAUACUUGGAACACUUGUGCAAGAGAGGACCCUCUUUGUUAUGAAUCAUAACAUGCCACAUUUUACAAGCCUUGACAUUCCACUCUCACAUCAUGGAGCCAGCAGUAAUUCUUGUAUUGAUUUUGGGGUUCAACCUUUAGCACUGAGAGGGAGAAAAAUAAUCACAGUUUGUAAUGUUGUUUCAAUGAGAAUUUCUUAUUUCAAAAAAUAUUAUUUGUCAGUGGGUUAUUUUGAUUUCACAGGUCAUGUAAUAUCAGUUCAGUCUUCAAAAGCGGUGUGUGUUCAAGGUCUGUAAAGACAAUCACAAAAAAACAGCUCAUGCAUGUAGAAAUAUGCCUAACCUGGAAAAGGUUAAAGGUCAAACAUGGCUGUAAGUUUAUCUGUCAAAAUGAAGUUCUUUUGUUAAUUAUAAGACGCCAAAUUUGCCCCUUGCUUGCUCUGUUUAGAACUAAUGUGUUCAAAGUAUUCAACACUGAGACUCAAAGUGUGCUUUUAUCUCCCUUUGAAAAAGCCUUGUCCUUCAUGUUUUCAUUGAUACUGAAGCUCAUCUGCAGCAGACUGGUAUUCUUCUGAGGCUAACUAUUGUCUAUAAAAGUGAAUACUCUUCA